UCUCCGUCGGUGAACCAGCGGAGGGAUCAUUACAGAGUUGCAAAACUCCCAAACCAUUGUGAACGUUACCUAUCCCGUUGCUUCGGCGGGCGGCCCGGGCCCCGCGCCCGGCGCCCCCCGGCCCCCCGUGGGCGCCCGCCGGAGGUAAACCAAACCCUUGAAUUGCAUGGCCUCUCUGAGUCUUCUGUACUGAAUAAGUCAAAACUUUCAACAACGGAUCUCUUGGUUCUG
rnacentral:misc_RNA from 1 species